rnacentral:misc_RNA from 1 species
GAUGAAGAACGUAGCGAAAUGCGAUACUUGGUGUGAAUUGCAGAAUCCCGUGAACCAUCGAGUCUUUGAACGCAAGUUGCGCCCGAAGCCAUUAGGCCGAGGGCACGCCUGCCUGGGCGUCACACGUCGUUGCCCCCCCAUCUACUCCUUCGGGAUUGCGGGGGGCGGAUGAUGGCCUCCCGUGCGCCUCGCCGCGCGGUUGGCAUAAAUGCCAAGUCCUCGGCGACGCACGCCACGACAAUCGGUGGUUGCGAAACCUCGGUUGCCCGUCGUGUGCGGUCGUCGCGCAUCGAGGGCUCGAAAAAAUUGCCGGGUUCCGGUUCGGCUUUCAACGCGACCCCAGGUCAGGCGGGGUUACCCGCUGAAUUUAAGCAUAUCAAUAAGCGGAGGA